rnacentral:rRNA from 1 species
UUGUCCUUACGGGGUGCAGCAGUCCCGUAAACUUCACAAUGUACGGAAGUACGAUGGGGUUGCCUCGAGUGCAGUCUGAAAAAGGGUGCUUUUCCAGAGAGUAACAUCCUGUGGGAAUAAGAGGGGGUCAAGACCGGUGUCAGCCGCCGGGGUAACACCAGCCCUUCGAGUGGUGGGGAUUAUUAUUUGGCCUAAAGCGUCCUUAGCCGAAUGUACCUGUCUCCCGUCAAAUCCAGCGUGUCAAGCGUUGUUCUGCCCGUGACCCCUUGCAGCUUGAGGCUGGGACAGGUGAGAGGUAUUUCCGGGGUAGGGGAGAAAUCCUUUGAUCCCGGGAGGACCUCCCGUGGGGAAGGCUGCUCCCUAGAACACGCCUUUCGGUCAGGGAAGAAAGGUGGGGUAGCGAACCGGAUUAGAUACCCGGGGAGUCCCACCCGUAUAACGAUGCGCGCUAGGUAUUGGGUCGGCCAUGAGCCGCCCCAGUGCCGCGGGGAAGCCGUUGAGCGCGCCGCCUCCGGAGUACGGUUUCAAGGCGUGAAAAAUAAAUGAAUCCCCGGGGGACCCC